ACUUAGCGGUCCUUUCACGAACCCCUGCUUUAUUUUAGACUCUGCCCGCUCUUCACAUCAUCUCGUUGGGAGCUGUGGGUGAGGUGGUGUUGAAAAGAAUACGUUAUUAUUGCCGCUUUGACGCCAGACCUGGUUCUCUACACGGGAUGCUGCAAACAUCCGCUGUCAGCGUGUGCAAGGCUGUGAUUCCAGAGGAGAGACCCAAAGCCUCCUGGGCGUGUGUGAAGAGUGUUUAGCGGGAGGCAGGAGGCAGGGUCCCUGAAAGCCAAGCCGAUGAGCGCGAACCCUGUGCUGAGUAAAUGUGGGCUCCUGAAGGUGCAGAGACAGUGGACAGUGGACGAGCGAUACAUGGAAUAGAAACAUGCCCCAGGCUUGUUGGAAUACAGAGGAAAGGUGUGUGCCCAUGGAGGUAAGCUCAACAUAAUCUGUGGUCCAUGUGAUCUAGAAUGAAAAAUAAUUUGAUCAGCUCCCUUCCUAAUACCUUUUUUAUGUAGGUGUUGUAAGAUCAUAUCCCCAAACUGAAGCACGACUCCUUGUAUUUCAAUACUGUUUCACCACAUGGGUCUAGCAGAGAAUACACUUUGCGGUCUCCACGACCAACUCAAAGAGCUACAGACAAGAACCUCGAAUUUCUCCAAGAAUGAAGCGAGCCACUGGCUAUACUUAGUUAACACCCAGGUUUUAAAAUGAACCUGCAUGUGUGCAGCGGGUUACUGCCCGAUGUCCUCUCAAGCCCAUGGGAGGCAACCACCGUGAUGCCAAGAACUCACCACGACCCUCCACCUGGCACCAGCUCGCCAGCCUGAGCCCUCUCGUGUCUGUUCUCUGAGCCAGGAGUUACAGAGGAACAGGGCCAGUGGCAAACACUAAGUCGUGCUGGGGUGGUGAGGGGAGAAAUACUGUACUUCGAUAUUAUUUGGUGGUCAUCCUUAGAUGAUCAGGAUUCCAGACAGGAGCAUUGCCCCGGCUGGUACAAUGUUGGAAGUGGGUCUUUCUUCUUGUCGGCAAGCAGACCAUGCUGCCUGAAGAAGCGAAGGCGGUGAGCUCAUGGUGAUUGGCGUGUGGUCUGAGGCUAAAGGUGAUGCUGCUUCCCCUCAGCCCCUGCCCUUCACCUCGUCUCAAUUUUCCUGGGACCCUCCUAUAUGCCCGAUUUAAAGGGAAUUACCUAUGACUUCAAUUAUUUGUUUCUUAUCAGCUGAUGUUAAACUACAAGGAUUUGCAUUGAAUGGACACAAAGAGCAAGCAAGUCGCGGCACAUGGCCAAAUGAAAGAGUGAUGUCCUGGUGAAUUUAGCCGAAAUAAUUUACUGCCAUAUAAAAGUGGGGAAGUAGAAGGUACAGCCUUUGACCAAUAAAUCCCUGCUGCCCGUGAAACCCUUAUCUGGUCCCCUCCGAUAUAUUCCACACAAGGAAGCCAUCAUCAUUGGCUCUGGUUAGUUAUUUGUAAACCUUGAUCUUCUGCACUCCGUGUCCUAAAUACGGGUAAUUAGCAUCAGUUUAUCGCACUUCUGCAUAUUUCGUCUACUCUCCAAACACGCGGGCUUCCAUUGGCUGCCAUUCUGCUACAGGAGAUUAUGAAGACAGAUUGCAGAGAACGCAUGUGCUAAACGAGAUUAGGAAGGAAUAGAAAUAGCAACUUGGCCAAUAAAUUCCUCGUGAGAGCCUUAUCAUGCAAUUACACGUUGACUAGCUUCACACUCUCCCGGCCUCUUAAUCCAGUGCCCCCACCAGGAAUAAAAUUUCACUAAUUUCUGAAUUGCUGCAGAUCCUCCUGACUUGUUACUGAGAGUGGAGACGAGGUGCUGCCGAACAUGUCGAGUCGAACUUCGCCAUAAAAAAGUAAACUUUGGAUGUCAAGGAACACUGCAUGCACCGUUCUAGAGCCUGGUUUUGCUGCACAAGGAGGAGCCCUGGCUAGAUGAGCAACCACCCAGAAUGCAGAGGGAAGCUUUCACUCAUCUGGAGUGCGGGAGAAUGAGCCACGGCCUGUGAGGCACAUGGAGAUACUUGUCUGAAGGAGUUGACUCUUAGAAACCACAGCACAGAUGCCUGAAGCAGGGAGACACACAGCUGCUGUGGCUGUGCCCCUGCAGGCACCUCCGUCUCUGGAGUCACCAAGACCAGCACAGAGUCUUGGAAGUUGGAGUGCUACCUCCCUGCUCCUCUGAAGGGAGGCCUAGGACACCUGUUGCUGAGGGGCCAGAGUGGCCGGGCCCCUGCUGGGCCGGUGUAGAAGGAGUGAGGUGGUCAGUGGUGUUUCCUCUCUGGAGCCUUCAGGCUAGAUUGGGAGUUCUGUGCGGCUUCAGCCACAGCUCUCUGCUCAAGCCGAGAUGCGCUUCAACUACUAGGCCUAAGGCACACGUGGCCGCUGGAGCUCAGCUCAGCAACUGAGACUGAAGGACCCUCCAGAGCCCCAGAAGACCCCCGCCCGGGGAGUGACAUCAGUUGGGGAGCUAUUAAUAACUGCCCUCCCUCCCUGUCAUAUUUCCUGAACUGUGUGGGGAAGGCGAUUGUGAGGCGCUCUGCUGGAAUUUGGCAGCGCGGAGGCUUGGAGAGCAGCCCCAUGCUGGCUCCUAUUCAGCCGGCCAGUUUUCCUCGAGCUUUGGAAGUUUCGCUCAGCCGUGCACUCAAUGGCUUCACAAAGCUGAUUACAAGCUUCAGCGCAUUCCUGAAGGAGCCAAAAGCGACGCAGGUGCAAACGAGCCGAGGGAGCCCCUUAUCCCGGUGACAGAAUGGGACAAGCUGGGAAAGGCUUGGACCACACAAAUCCAAGGCUCACCAGGCAGCAGAGAGCCUGCCUUGGGAACCGGGGGUCAUUAUCCGCCCUAUUCAGCGGGGCCGGGGACCCCGGGGCCGGGUAGGCCGGUCGGGCGGCAAGCACCGCCGCCAGUGUGCGCCUACGGCAGUGGGGACCCCGCUGGGCGCUGCAGCCCAUCGGGAUGUUGGGCGCUGUGUUUGUUCUCACCGACAGCGGUCCGUGAAAUCUAUCUUGUUCCUGAAAGCUGGUGUCCACGAUAAGGGGGUACAGGAGAACCAGGGUGGCGAAGAUGCGCUGUGCAUCGACAGCGCGUAACUUCGGUUGUUGAGAGCGCACUGGCCUGUGCCUGCCGCAGGCCGCUCUCAGCCCCCCCCCCCC